CCUAUCGGUCACUUUUACCAAAACCGCUAAGUUAUGGGGACAUAAACACAGGACAUACUCGUCCUGCCUUGGUUUUUGUCGUCCUUUUUCCUCUAAUAUAAUAUAUACCUGCUAACUUGGAAGCCUAAUGUGGAUCCCUAGCUCUGCCUCAGCUGUGAACUUGGAACCUAAUGGAUGACCAAUUAUAGCACUUACUCAGCAUACCUAUUUGUUUAGAUCACCAGUGAACUAAGCCCCUCAUAUUCUAUAUAUACAUCCAAAUUGAGGAGUGGAACAGGUAAAAUGCAAGCUACAUAUGUUUCUUAGCUAGGUGAUUCUUUGAUGUAAUAGUUUUUCAAUGAGGGUUGCUUAGCUUAGCUAAACAUGAGGCUAAGACUACCUUAAUUAAAUGAAGGUUACAUUGUCACAUGGAAUUUCCAAGUUAACUCACCACAAAUGUGACUUGAAUUGAAUAGAAAAGCCAGUAGUAUAGGAUUAAAAAAAGCAAAAAUUUGAAAAAAUAAAAAGGUCAUGAAGUAUGUAGGGGGAGAGGAGGAGGUUAAAUAUGUGGGAGUGUAUUAUACUUGUUCCACUCCCUCCAUUUGGAUUUUUAUUUGCAUUUGUAACAACUUGAGUUACUAACCAACAGCUAUAGAAACUAUCAGGUGACUCAGCUAUAGAAACUAUCAGUUCAUUUUCUAUGGUUGCAGAGAAGAGAUAGAUUUACAAAACAAACCAAAAGUAAAAUAAUACCAGCUGUUGUGUCUGGAUUUGAGUGAACUAAUGCACAACCACUGAUAUUAUGUUAUCGGAAUAAUCAAUCAAAAUUUAAUAUAACGAACCUUUAACUGUUGGAGUUUAUCAAUUGUUGAGCAGCUGUUGUGUCUGGAUUUGAGUGAACUAAUGCACAACUACUGAUAUUAUGUUAUCGGAAUAAUCAAUCAAAAUUUAAUAUAACGAACCUUUAACUGUUGGAGUUUAUCAAUUGUUGAGAAAAUGUCACAGAAAUUUGAAGUGGGUGGCAAAUUAACACUUUCAAACAAAGAAAAUAUCUCCGGAGAAUGUGCUAAAGGCUUGUUCUGAAGAAAAUAAAUGGAAAAAAUAUCUACAUAAA